rnacentral:rRNA from 1 species
CCUUCGGGUUGUAAAGUACUUUCAGUCAGUGAGGAAGGUGGAUAUGUUAAUAGCAUAUUCAUUUGACGUUAGCUGCAGAAGAAGCACCGGCUAACUCCGUGCCAGCAGCCGCGGUAAUACGGAGGGUGCGAGCGUUAAUCGGAAUUACUGGGCGUAAAGCGCAUGCAGGUGGUUUGUUAAGUCAGAUGUGAAAGCCCGGGCUCAACCUCGGAAUUGCAUUUGAAACUGGCAAACUAGAGUACUGUAGAGGGGGUAGAAUUUCAGGUGUAGCGGUGAAAUGCGUAGAGAUCUGAAGGAAUACCGGUGGCGAAGGCGGCCCCCGUGGACAGAUACUGACACUCUAGAUGCGAAAGCGUGGGGAGCAAACAGGAUUAGAUACCCUGGUAG